rnacentral:rRNA from 1 species
CAUAAUCAUUAGUUUUUUAAUUGGAAACUUGUAUGAAUGGUUAGACAAGGGGGAAACUGUCUCUAUUUGAUAAAUUGAAUUUAACUUUUAAGUGAAAAGGCUUAAAUUUUUUAAGGGGACGAUAAGACCCUAUAAAGCUUUAUAUGUAGAAAAUUUUUGUUUAAGUAAAUAAAAGUAAGAUUUUAAAUAUGUAUUUUGUUGGGGCGACAUGGAUAAAAUUACAGUAACUGUUUAAAUUAAAAUCAUUUAUAGAUGAGAUAUUUACUGAUCCUUUUUAGAGAUCCAAGAUUAAGUUACUUUAGGGAUAACAGCGUUAUUUUUUCUGAGAGCUCUAAUCGAAGAAAAAGAUUGCGACCUCGAUGUUGAAUUAAAGAAUCUAUGUAGUGCAGCCGCUGCAAAAG